GAUGAAGAACGUAGCGAAAUGCGAUACGUAAUGUGAAUUGCAGAAUUCAGUGAAUCAUCGAAUCUUUGAACGCAUAUUGCGCUCUCUGGUAUUCCGGAGAGCAUGCUUGUUUGAGUAUCAGUAAACACCUCAACUCCCUUUUCUUUUUUGAAAUGGGAGCUGGACUUGAGUGAUCCCAACACUUUUCUCACUGGAAAGUGGCGGGUCACUUGAAAUGCAGGUGCAGCUGGACUUUUCUCUGAGCUAUAAGCAUAUCUAUUUAGUCUGCCUAAAAAACAGAUUAUUACCUUUGCUGCAGCUAACAUAAAGGAGAUGAGUUCUUGUGCUGACUGAUGCAGGAUUCACAGAGACAGCUUUGCGGCUGACUUUGUAAACUCGAUCUCAAAUCAAGCAAGACUACCCGCUGAACUUAAGCAUAUCAAUAAGCGGAGGA
rnacentral:misc_RNA from 1 species